rnacentral:rRNA from 1 species
GAUGAACGCUAGCGGGAGGCUUAACACAUGCAAGUCGAGGGGCAGCAUAGGGUAGCAAUACUCUGAUGGCGACCGGCAAACGGGUGAGUAACGCGUAUGCAACCUACCCUGUACAGGGGGAUAACCCGGAGAAAUUCGGACUAAUAUCCCGUAAUAAUAUCCGGAGGCAUCUUUGGAUAUUUAAAGUUCCGACGGUACGGGAUGGGCAUGCGUAACAUUAGCUGGUUGGUAAGGUAACGGCUUACCAAGGCUAUGAUGUUUAGGGGUCCUGAGAGGGUGGUCCCCCACACUGGUACUGAGACACGGACCAGACUCCUACGGGAGGCAGCAGUGAGGAAUAUUGGUCAAUGGGCGCAAGCCUGAACCAGCCAUCCCGCGUGCAGGAAGACGGCCCUAUGGGUUGUAAACUGCUUUUCCAGGGAGAGAAACUUACGCACGUGUUGCGUGACUGACGGUACCCUGGGAAUAAGCAUCGGCUAACUCCGUGCCAGCGGCCGCGGUAAAAGUGUGUGUA